rnacentral:rRNA from 1 species
CGUACACUCCUGCGGGAGGCAGCAGUGGGGAAUUUUGGACAAUGGGCGAAAGCCUGAUCCAGCCAUGCCGCGUGCAGGAUGAAGGCCUUCGGGUUGUAAACUGCUUUUGUACGGAACGAAACGGCCUUUUCUAAUAAAGAGGGCUAAUGACGGUACCGUAAGAAUAAGCACCGGCUAACUACGUGCCAGCAGCCGCGGUAAUACGUAGGGUGCAAGCGUUAAUCGGAAUUACUGGGCGUAAAGCGUGCGCAGGCGGUUAUGUAAGACAGUUGUGAAAUCCCCGGGCUCAACCUGGGAACUGCAUCUGUGACUGCAUAGCUAGAGUACGGUAGAGGGGGAUGGAAUUCCGCGUGUAGCAGUGAAAUGCGUAGAUAUGCGGAGGAACACCGAUGGCGAAGGCAAUCCCCUGGACCUGUACUGACGCUCAUGCACGAAAGCGUGGGGAGCAAACAGGAUUAGAGACCCCUGUAGUCCCAUGA